GUGACAAAGUCGAAUGAUUUGAAAUACACUGCUUAGUUAUUGAAUAACAACUAUAACCUGUAAAAGAAAUAAUAAAUUGUUUACAUACAUUCCAAUAAAGAAAAUUAAUUAUAAUUAUAGUACAGCAGAUCAACAAUUUACAACGCUUGCAAAGAAAUAAUUUAAUUAAUUAAUUAGUAAAUGAUUGCUGUAUAUAUUUUUUGGUCUUUUAAAUUAGCUACCUUACUUUGGGCAGCCACUUUUGGCUACAGACAGAUCAUUUUAACUAAGAAAUUUGAUAUAGCAACUAAAAGCUUUGAGCAUGCGUGGACAUCUUUUAAGAUUGCAUGCACAUCCUCGUUAAAAUAAUACAAUAAUUAUUUUUCUACUGUAUUCGCAUCAAACUUGUUUUGCUAUAGAAUUGGUUGAAGCAUGGUGGUCGAUAGGCUCGAGUGUCCAGCCUGUCAACUCCCCCGCGGCAGAGAGAUGACCGGCUGCACACUCCAGCCUAGGUGGUCGAGUAAUAGUCCAUGACUUCCUAACAUGCGAUUGUCCCGGAUCAUCAACACAAGAAUUCAAAGAUUAUCAAACAAACUGGCAUUUUAGUAACGUCACGGUCUCUGACUACGGAGAGGGCUAAGCACUUACGUUUACCUUUGCAGAAAUGUUUUAAAUUUAAUAUAAACCAAAUAUGUGCAACGACUGGUCUCCGAUUGCUCGAAUAUCAACCAAGAAGCGAAUUCUACAUUCAAGACGCUAUGAGAAGACAAGCUAUAGCGAAAGAAACCUGGAACGAAAUAUUGAAGGUUGUGUCUAGGGAAACUCUGGAGAAUUGUUUCAAAUUCCUUGCAGACAAACGUAAAUGGGCUGAAGAAGGUGUUCUGUUUCCAUGCAUAUUUGUAGCUGAGAGACCUCGUGAUAUGUAGACCGGUUGCCAUGGAAACCGAUUCUUAGAUGAUGGGAUCUACUGACAACGGCUGUUUCACGCAUGCUACUCUGCGCUAACUUAGCGUACGACGCGCAAUUCAGGGAGACUAUGGAGAAUUGUUUCAAAUACCCUGCAGACAAACGUAAAUGGGCAGUGGAAGGUGUUCUGUUUCCAUGCAUCUUUCCAGCUGAAAGACCUCGUGAUAUGUAGACCGGUUGAACAAGUUUAUGUAGAGACCGAUUUCUAAUUGGCGCUGUGAUGGCAUCUAAUGAUCCACGACUGUUUGGCGCAUGCUACUUUGCGCUAACUUAUCGUUCACAUGCGCAGGUCAGGAAAUCGAUCGGCUACGCAUGCAGGCGACAUUAGAAAGAGCCCGAGGCUCUACUCACUAUGGUACGUUGUGCAGUAGCGAUUUUAUUCAAGAUAGUACUAGCUAAUUAGCUAAGUACAUUAUAAAUAAUUAGUGUGUUACGGCUGUCCAAGAUUG